ACAUUCACGCGCAAACAUGUUGCAUCAUUUUGUAUGUAUGAACUCUCAAGAGAACAUAGAAGAUGUUAUAUGCUUGUGUUGAGCAAAAUACAGAGCUUGUAUCCAUGCCCACACAGGUGUGCUAAGAGUGCUUGUUUCUGAAGCUGUCAAAGAAGUGAUUGGGUUUGCCAAGUCUGCCAUUCAUUGCAAGGAGAAGUGCAGCGGGUUGGAAGAUUCAUUGACCGAAGCAUCCGGGCAGCAGAAUAUUUCUUCAUUUCACCUAGCAGCCGAGGGCUCUCUGAGCUCCUCACAACUGGAUACCUCGCUGAAAGCCCUCAAAGCCAAGGUUGAAGAGGCUAGACCUCUUGUUCUUGAGUGCCAGUCUCUACAAAAUCCCAUUCUAGAUGGCCUAAAGAGGAUAACACUUGCUACCAAGAUCGAACACUGCUCCAAGGCGAUCCAUGGGCACUUGGCUGCAGCUUCUCUACAUCUUAACGUUGAAAUUCUGAACAGAAGAAGCAAAAGGAGGUGCUCUCUAAUGUGGUUCCACAGGAAGAACAGCAUGUUGUUCCUCUGGAUAAGCACAUUUUCGACAUGGAAGAGAUGCUAGAGCAGGUUGUAGCAGACUUGCUGGGGUCCCCUAUAAGCAGCAAGUGGGUUGGUGUCCAUGGAGCAAGAGGUGCUGGAAAAAUACUCCUGGCCAAACGAGUAUGUGACAACGAUCAAGUCAAGGGGUGUUUCGAUCCAGUUUUGUGGCUACAUUCGGUCACUCGUUUCAGGUGGAAGCAAAGCAACACGAACUUGCCAAAAGAAUCCGACUAGAAGGAAAUCAGAUCAGCAUUGAAACACUGAGGAGGGGGCUUGAUGGGAAGAGAUGCUUGCUGGUGUUGGAUGAUGUCUGGAAAUUCAUCCAUUUGGAUUUCUUUGAUGUGGUGCAAGAGAAUGGAAGCAAGAUCUUCAUUACCACUCGAAAACGUGAUGUGCUUGACAGUAAAGGUGCAAUCAAAACCGAAAUGGCUCUUGGAAAAGGAGGAAAGCACUUACGGACAUUGAGGAUCACAAUUAUAUGUCUCUACUGGUAGCUAAAAAUGGGUGUUUUACAUGUUGCUUCAAGUAUGUGUCUUUUAUAUGACGCUAAUAGCAACACAUCCUGAGCAUGGUGAAGUGCUAGAAAUUUAGAUGCUAGAUGGCGUUUUUUGA